rnacentral:rRNA from 1 species
ACGCUCGACACCUACGGGGGGCAGCAGUAGGGAAUCUUCCACAAUGGACGCAAGUCUGAUGGAGCAACGCCGCGUGAGUGAAGAAGGUCUUCGGAUCGUAAAACUACUGUUGUUAGAGAAGAACACUAGUGAGAGUAACUGUUCAUUCGAUGACGGUAUCUAACCAGCAAGUCACGGCUAACUACGUGCCGGCAGCCGCGGUAAUCUGAGCGGGCUGGCAAGGC